AGAGAUCUUGAUGCAGACGCCCUUUUGGAUUUCUUUUUAAUAGUGUGUGACCCUUCACCUUUGAUCCCUUGACCUGCAUUACUUUGGUUUGGCUUGUCUGCUUUUCAGCUCUUCUAGACAUUGGAAAUUCCAGUUUGUGUUUAUUUUCUCUGGAUUCCUUCCCACAAGACAGAAGUGAAUUCAGCAUGGAUUAUUGGGGAGAACCUUGGCUGGGAAUAAGGAUAAUUGCAGCCUCUGGCUGUGCCACAGUUUCACUGAUGAUUUCUUUUAAGUUACUCACCUGCACUGUAUCUGUUUCCUCAGCUGUAAAAUGUGGGUAAUUACCUCCAUUGUAAAAUGUUACAGGGUCUGCUGGUAAUUAUAUGAACGAAGUGCUAAUUACAGUGAUUAUCCCUUGGACCUAGUCUAGAUCUGGCUGAUGUUCCUGUUGUGAUGAACGUAUGAAACAAAUACUACAA